rnacentral:rRNA from 1 species
UACGUAGGGUGCAGGCGUUAAUCGGAAUUACUGGGCGUAAAGCGUGCGCAGGCGGUUUCUUAAGUCAGAUGUGAAAGCCCCGGGCUUAACCUGGGAACUGCGUUUGAAACUGGGAGACUUGAGUGUGGCAGAGGGGGGUGGAAUUCCACGUGUAGCAGUGAAAUGCGUAGAGAUGUGGAGGAACACCGAUGGCGAAGGGCAGCCCCCUGGGCUAACACUGACGCCUCAGGCACGAAAGCGUGGGGAGCAAACAGG